rnacentral:lncRNA from 1 species
CAUCCCCUUCCUUGGUUCUUCCAUUACAGCAAUGAAGUCACAAUGAAGGGGAGGAACUGCCCAGUUGGGCAGCGCGAUGGGAAGGAGCCCACCCACGACUGUGGAUGUUUAACCAAAGCCUUCCUGUAGGAAAGCAGGAAAGACUGGGUGGCCUGAGGGCAAGACGACAGUACUGCUGCUCAGAAAAGGUGACCAAAGUGGCCAACAUUGCAACCUGGACCUGGGACUCAAACCCAAAUCUGUCUGAUUCCUAAACUGCAAUCUUCCCACCAGAUUCUGCGGCCUCCCACUACCUGAAAAAUGGUUUUUCUCUGUCUCCUCACCUAGGAAUGGAAAUAUCACUGAAACUAAAGAAAACGACCCUCCAGUCCAGUGGGUGCAAACUGGGGACUUCAGCUGGAUUCACCCCUCAGGUGGCUUCUGUUUGGCCACCACCUUGUUUGGUCUCCCACAUGAAAAGCUGGUGCCUUUCAUCACGAAGCUGCUCUCACCCCAUUCCUAGAUUCUGAAACCUGAAGUGGGAAAUCCAGGUUGCUGGAGAAGCCACAAACCACACCAGCCAGGUGUGCCACCCCACACCAGCCAGGUGAGAGAGAAGAUCGGUGACAAUGUGUGUAAGCUGCAACAACACUUUCCCUGUAGCCACCUUUGGGGCAUAAAGAAGGGUCUCCUGUAGCCCCCACUGACCUGGAUCCACAGACACAAAAAUCUGGGAAAUGUAGUUCCAGCUGGAGUAACAGUGAUGGCAACAGAAAUAACAAUAACGAAAGACAUGCAUUUAGGAUCUAUACCAAGCGCCUCCCAUGUAUCAUUUCAUUUAACUCCAGUUUCAUCCACAUAGCUCUGAUGGGCUUGUGCGGUUUUCAACUCCAUUUUACAAAGCAGUGGUUAAGUGACUUGCCCCGGUUCCCUCAGCUGGAGAAUGUCUGAGCUGGGAUUCCGCCCUGCACAC